UACGUAGGUGGCAAGCGUUGUCCGGAUUUACUGGGCGUAAAGAGCGCGCAGGCGGUCGUUCAAGUCGCGUGUGAAAGCCCCCGGCUCAACUGGGGAGGGUCACGCGAUACUGAUCGACUCGAAGACAGGAGAGGGUAGUGGAAUUCCCGGUGUAGUGGUGAAAUGCGUAGAUAUCAGGAAGAACACCCGUGGCGAAAGCGGCUCUCUGGAACGGUACUGACGCUGAGACGCGAAAGCGUGGGGAGCGAACAGG
rnacentral:rRNA from 1 species